AGAAUUACACAGAGACCUGAGCCAUGGAGCCGGAUGCUGAUGGUGGAAGCUAGUCAAAGGGGACAGAGGAGACAGAAGCAGGGCGGAGAGUGAAACACCUGGGAAUCCUCACAGCAUCUCACAUGCACCGCCCAGCAUGGUUCUCCGAAGGAUCCUUGGGAAAACACAGGGGACUCCCAGGAAAUGGGGGUCUCUUACUGCUAGGGUAACAGGAGUGAGGGAAGCCUGAGACGGUGGAUGGACUCUAGAUGCCCUGGGGAUAGAGAGAUUAGAUAGAACGGGGAUGGCUGAAUGGAAAUACACAAAAUCAUGUUCCAAUUCCUAUUUGAUGUCCCUCCCAACCUCUGGGUGUGAAUUGCCCUGCGGUGCCCAGAGAUGCCUGACCCCAGAGGCACGUCCAUCACUCUGAGUUAGUGAAGGCAAAUAACAGUGACUGCUGAUUUCCCUCGUGCCUUCCCCAUGGGGCGGGGAUUGGUACGCUAACCGCCCCAUCUCUGUUGCUCCCUUCCAGGGAGUGCCUGGCUGCAGUUCCCUACGGGCCCGAAGGGGGCGGCAAAGUCCAUAUUAACCCUUUACGCCCUGCAUGCGGUGUUGUUCGUGCUGUGGGCCGUGCUCCUCGCCGUGGCAAUUGCAAAGUAUGCAGAGAUGUCCAGGGAGCUGGAGCAGAUGCGGACUGAUCAAUCCAUGCUCAGAGCCAGUGAUCUUCUGAACAAGCACAGACACCACAGCCAAGUGUUACCGAAGAACAUUUCAAGUGUCAUCGCAGAAUGAGGCGGCGAGGUGAAACCGUAGCUGUGUAUGUGGAAGAGCAAAAUAUAUUAGUUGACUAGCGCUCGGCUGGAUAUGUCCUAUGUGCUGCAGGGCAGUUUAGUAAUACCACAAACCAAUGAGGGACUUCAAGGACGACUGCUGGCAGAAGGGGAUGUAACCUGUCCCAAAGCAACAGACAAUGGAAGCAGCAGUGAAAAAACCUACAAGCUUUUCACUUAAAAGGCAGGGACAUUCAAAGUGACUCAGGCACCUGAGAGGUGUUUCGACAUCAGUCUGUAACUUUAAAAGGGCAGCACCUCAAGCCCCGGAGGGCGGGGCCGGAUUUACACCUUAUGCGCCCCUAGGCACUGCAUCUUCAGCGCCCCCCUGCCUGCAGCUGGCCUUCGUGUGCACACAGUUUUAGAGGGGUCAGCGCCCCUAGACAUGUGCCAACUAUGCCUAUUUGGAAAUCCGGCCCUGCCGGAGGGUAGACCUCAAUGGUACGUCUACACAGUCUACUAAGCCGUGGCUCUGACUCAAGUUUAAGACCAACUUCCACACAGAAUUUAGUUUGACUCAGGCUUGCAGAGCCUGCUAGGGGGUGGGGUCAGAGCCGAAGUCCCACUGUCAUGCAAGUCAGAGCCCAAACGUUUUGUAGUGUGGAUGCAGCUUAGCUGCAUGUCACCCGACUUGGGUGUGGAGAGUCCGCCAACACUAUCUUACAAUCCCCAGGGACUGUGCUUCCCAGCCCUUCAAUUCCAAAACUUGCCACUUGCUUCCCAGGAACCUUAUGUAACACGGGGAUGCUGAUAAUGGCCUCCUUUGUAAAGGACAUUGAGACCUUCUGAGGAAAUGAGCUACAGAAGAGGUAGGUAGUAUUAGGGUGCAGGUCCAACACAGGCUGGUCUGGCCCCUCUCCUCAACAAGGGGUCAGCUGCUGCUCUGGAGGUGAAAGGCUCUUGUUAUCUCCUCAACCACCAGACCCCGUAAUGUCCUAGCGACGAUGCCCCUCUGGGUUCCGGACCAGGAUGUUGGUUAUUCUUUCCCCUGAGAAUCCACCCUUAAGAUUGGAGACUGGCCCACUUCUCACAGCUUUGGGAGAUGAGUUAAAGCUGCAGGACGCCAGUGUGGUGCUGAGGUGGGCCAGCUACUGCUUUCAUUUACCCGAGUGUGGGGCAGGAGUAACUCUACCGAAGUCAAUGGGGUUAUGCCUGAUUUUUCUGUGGAAUAUUCCAGCUGCUGGGGGUGGUGCUAACAAGGCUUCCUACCUCCAGGAAAGACAGAGCCUGCUCCCUUCCCUCACCUUGAGGAGCAGCAAUCAGCUGUUUGUAAUGAAGCAGCAGCUUCCUCUCCCAUGGGAAGACUGCAGUGUCUGAUGGUGGGCUGGAGCAGGGAGGUGUUUCAGACCUGCUCCCCUUUUCCUCCACGUUCCUCAUUGCUGUGUAAGUGGGGUUGGACUGAGCUCCCCUGUAAUGUGGAGUGAUGAGCUGGGGGAACAGUCUCCAGGAGCAGACUGUGUUUGCCUAAGCACCCUGCUCUGCCGAGGAACUCAGCGGAGGGAACUGCUUCGCCAAAGUGAUCCCUUUUGGCUGGUGUUGGGUUACAAAUCACUUUAGUAGGGAGUGAAGGGGAAUGGCAUGUUGUGACCCUGAUUGUGUAAGGGAA